GGAUGGUGACGGGAGAUGGGCAGAAGCCUGAGGGUUGCCGUUCACCACCUGUGCUGGGAGCCCGGGCUGGGCCAUCUAGAGUCACAGCAGGAUCGAUCUUCCACCACGGCGCCAUCGGUUUUCCCACUGGCCCCCAGCUGCGGGGCCACCUCCGGAUCCACAGUGGCCCUGGCCUGCCUGGUGUCUGGCUACUUCCCUGAGCCUGUCACUGUGUCCUGGAACUCCGGCUCCGUGACCAGCGGCGUGCACACCUUCCCGUCCGUCCUGCAGUCCUCGGGGCUCUACUCUCUCAGCAGCAUGGUGACCGUGCCCUCCAGCAGGUGGGCCAGCGACACCUUCAUCUGCAACGUGGCCCACCCAGCCAGUAACACCAAGGUGGACAAGAAAGUGACCAAAAGAGAACCUACUGACCCAUCCAAAUGUCCCCAAUGUCCAGGGCAACGGAUGUCCAAGAGGAAGGCCACCCACUAUCUACCCCUGUGCUCUGUCUCCCUCGUAGGCUCUUAUAUGCUGGGAGGACCUUCGGUCUUCAUCUUCCCCCCAAAACCCAGGGACGUCCUCAGGAUGGCCCACACCCCCGAGGUCACAUGCAUGGUGGUGGACCUGGCCCAAGAAGACCCUGAGGUCCAGAUCAGCUGGUUCGUGGACAACCAGGAGGUGCACACGGCCAAAACGAACCCACGUGAGCAGCAGUUCAACAGCACCUUCCGUGUGGUCAGUGUCCUCCCCAUCCAGCACCAGGACUGGCUCAAGGGGAAGGUCUUCAAGUGCAAGGUCAACAACAAAGCUCUCCCAUCCCCCAUUGAGAAGACCAUCUCCAAGGCCAGAGGGGAUCCCCAGCAGCCCAGUGUGUAUGUCAUGCCCCCACCCCGGGACGAGAUGACUAAGAACACCGUCAGUAUCACCUGCCUGGUCAAAGACUUCUACCCACCUGACAUUGAUGUGGAGUGGCAGAGCAGCGGCCAGCAGUUACCAGAGGCCAGUGUCCGAACAACCGCGCCCCAGCUGGAUGCGGACGGCAGCUACUUCCUCUACAGCAAGCUCUCGGUGGACAAGGCGCGCUGGCAGCGGGGAGACGUCUUCACGUGUGCGGUGCUGCAUGAAGCCCUACACAACCACCACACACAGAAGUCCAUCUCCCAGUCUCCGGAGCUGCUCCUGGACGACAGCUGUGCCGAGGACCAGGAUGGGGAGCUGGACGGGCUGUGGACCACCAUCUCAAUCUUCAUCACCCUCUUCCUGCUCAGCGUGUGCUACAGCGCCACUGUGACCCUCUUUAAGGUGAAGUGGAUCUUCUCCUCGGUGGUGCAGCUGAAGCACACAAUCGUCCCCGACUACCGGAACAUGAUCGGCCAGGGGGCCUAGGGCCGGUCCUCGUGGCGGGUGUCCAGGGCUGCCCUCGACCCCCCACGGGAACCGGCUGCAUCGGUUCGUGCCGCCCGGCCUGCUGCCAGGCCUGCCCCUCUGACCUCCCAGAGCGCCACCCUCCGACCUCACAGCCGCCCUGGACCUGACCUCCACCCUCGGGGUUGCCGGGCACCGUGGGCUGCUCCUGCCCCUGACGCCCCGUUUGGAGACUCCACCGGACAGCAGGCUGCGCCCCCAACCUGAGCUGAUGGACACUGCUCACCCCUCCUCGGCGGCCACCAAGUCACUGCUGGGGCCGCGUGGACACUGACCCAUCAGGGCAGGAUGGCCCUCACCAGCACGGCCCCGGGGUCACGUGCACGGUCAUCCUGGAGGCGGCAGAGGGCUGGCAGUCCCAGCGUCCAUCGGGGCAGGGACCGGCCUCCAUGCAAACCCCAUCGAGGCCGGGCUCCAGGAGGCAGGACAUCCCCAGAGCAGGCAUGUUGUCUCAGAUCCUGAGGAGCCCAUGGGCCACCAUCACCCCACAGAGAGGCUUCCGGUGUGCCACGGAUGGUCAGUCAGACCUUCUCCACUGGAGGAGAUGUGCAGAGGAGGGCCCAGGCCUGUGGCCACUGCAGGACCCCCCCCCCGGGGACAGGGGAAAGGAGUGACGGCAGCCAGACUGGCCUCCUGCAGAGGGGUCUGGUGACCUGGUCCCCAGACGGGUGGGACGCAGCCUCAGUGGACAGAGCUGGGCAGGUGCGGAGAGGCCAGGACAGCAGGCCCAGCCUGCACCCUCCUGUGACCAGGACCCGAGUCACGCUGGGCGGAAAUGCCUGCUUGCUCCGGGCAGCUGGGGGCAGAGACAAGACGACCAGAGAGAGUGCCCAUGGCCUUGGGGCCUGACCCAGGCAGACGCCUAGGACUGGUUCUCCACCCGGCCUUUGAACGAGUGCCCGAUCGGAGCCCCGACACGGGAGAGACGACCACGCAGGGGAGGAGAAGCAGGGCCCCCCAUGCCCCUGGGAGAGAAUGCACACCCAUCACUCAGAGGACACCCGCUGCUGUAGCUUGGGUAGCUUGAUUGCUUCUUGUGAAAUUUCUGAAGCGUGAAAAUGUCCUUUACUGUUUCUUCUCUUUUUCUUUAACGGCAAUAAAAUAUCCUGAAAAAUUCCAUAA